rnacentral:misc_RNA from 1 species
UCUCCGUUGGUGAACCAGCGGAGGGAUCAUUACAGAGUUUUCACAACUCCCAACCCUUGCGAACCGUACCCAUUCUGUUCUCGUUGCUUCCGGCCGGAGGGACGGGGGGGCCCGAAACGGCCUCACCGCCCCGCCCGCCGGGGGCGGCGGGCCCUACGAACCUUUAUAUCUCAACCACUAGAAACCGUCUUAGAAAACAAACAAAAUAAUCAAAACUCUCAACAACAGAUCUCUUGUCUCUGCCAUCGAUGAAGAACGCAGCAGAUCGGAAGAGCACAC